rnacentral:lncRNA from 1 species
CUGACAAUCCCACAAAGAUCUUGGUCAAGGUGAGGUGACCAUGACAUUAAUGGUCCUAACUUGGUGUCUGAUAAUGAGUUCUCUCACUUGUAUCCAGAAGAGUUUACCUGAAUACACAGAUUCCACUUUUUCUGGAGUGCUGCAAUGGAAAUCUGCUACAAUGGAACCAGUACUCUUGGGAACAACUUUGGCAUCAGUUAAAAUUCAGUGAUAAAUGAGAAAUGAAAUUCCUAUGGAAGUUAAUAAAAUCAGUGCUUAGCUUUUCA